rnacentral:rRNA from 1 species
UACGUAGGGGGCAAGCGUUGUCCGGAUUUAUUGGGCGUAAAGAGCGUGUAGGCGGCCAAACAGGUCAGCUGUGAAAACUCGAGGCUCAACCUCGAGACGUCGGUUGAAACCGUUUGGCUAGAGUCCGGAAGAGGAGAGUGGAAUUCCCGGUGUAGCGGUGAAAUGCGCAGAUAUCGGGAAGAACACCCGUGGCGAAGGCGGCUACCUGGCAUGAUACUGACACUGAGGCGCGAGAGCGUGGGGAGCAAACAGG